ACCUUAUAACAAAAACGUCAAAGUUUAACUUAUCCUGCCAUAAAUCCCCAAAUUUCUACUUAACCCUUCACCACCACCGAAUAAUUCUAUAUAUAUAUAGAACUUUUUAUGUUAAGACUAGUAGCAAGAACUCAAUUUUCUCUUACAGUUUAAACAUAAGUUAGAUCGGACAUACCACUACCACUUAAUAGUUAUAUUUCAUGUAGUAACACUACUAGAAAAUUCUACAUUUUUCCCUAUUAACCUUACACAAGCAAAACUCAAGAAAGAUUAAAAAAGAAAGAAGGAACUCGGCAAACUUCGAUUCCGCCUGUUUACCAAAAACAUCGCCUCCUGCUCUGUAUAGGAGGUCCUGUCUGCCCAGUGACUCUGUUCAACGGCCACGGUAUCCUAACCGUGCAAAGGUAGCGUAAUCACCUGUUUUUUAAAUAAAGACCUGUAUGAAAGACCCCACGAGAAUCGCACUGUCUCCUUUCCCCAAUCAGCGAAACUAAUCUCCUCGUGAAAAAGCGAGAAUUCUAAUACAAGACGAGAAGACCCUGUGGAGCUUUAAAUGAACACAUCAACUAUAUUAUUAACCUUAUUUUCAUGAUGUUAAUUUUUGGCUGGGGCGACCUUAGAGCAUAAAAAAACCUCCUAGAUGACACGGAGUCACUCCUAAACACAAAACCACAAUUUUACGUAUCAACAAACUGACAGUAUUGACCCUCAUAGAUCAACGAAACAAGUUAC
rnacentral:rRNA from 1 species